ACUUUAAGGCUAUUAUCAGUUAACUAAGCAGAUAACCAUGAAAAAAGCAUGUCUUAAAGAAUAUGAGGAUUAGGAAGAGGAGGAGGAGGAAUGGUGGAAGUGUGGAUCUCCUCCCCUACCGCCACUAUUCCUCAACUACUUUCCCCAACACUUGGGAUAUAAAAGGGGGGCUAGAAAGAUAAGUUCUUUACUCACUAAAAAUACACAAAGGACAUACAUCUUUCAAACGGUUUCAUAUUUGGGUUCGGUUUCAUU
rnacentral:lncRNA from 1 species